UACAGACACCCUGGUUCAAAUCCAGGCUGUAUCACAACUGGCUGUGAUUGGGAGUCCCAUAGGGCAGCGCACAAUUGGCCGAGCGUUGUCCGAGUUUGGCCGGUGUAGGCCAUCAUAGAAACCACAAACAGUAUUUGCCAAUAUCAUAACUGGAACUGGACAUCUUUCGAGCUGAAGAUUGAGGACAGCUUUUUGACUGAACAACAACUGCAUUUCCACCCCCACCUCUAAAGGCAUAGUAUUAUGGCAGGUCACCUGUCAGGCAGACUUUGCAGUGCCUCCGUGUGCGACUACCUUGAGCAGCAGUUUGAGGGACUUUGCGGGGAAAAUGCCGUGCAGUGAGGCGUAGGGGAUUGUCUACAGCAGGGCGACCCCCAGUGGAGGGGCGCCGAGGGGUGUGGUGCUCCUCCAACAGCUCUCUCAUGAGGUUCUCUCUGUAUUUUUGGUGGUCCACCUUCCCUGUGGCCGACAUGGUUGCUGUAUGGACAGUGGAGAGGACAUGGACGUCUCGUUUGUCAUGCCACUUUACUGCCAGCUGUUGACCGUUCUCCUGGAACUCCACCUCCCCUCUCUGCAUCUUCCUGCAUCCGAAUGCCGGCAUCCCCUUCCUGUUCGACCUAACCCUAACCCUGUGCUGUUGGAGAGCAGAUGCUGGAAGAGUGUGGGACUGCUGUACCAAUUGUCCACGUACAAAGUGUGUCCCUUGCCGAGAUGAGGAGCCAGCAUGGUCAUCACCACGGACCCAGACACCCCAAGCCCCUCAUAAUGUUUGAUGUCAGUGGUAGACCCUGUGUACACUAUAAUAUCCAGGACAUAUCCUGUCUUCACGUCGCACAUGACAAAGAACUUGACCCCAAACCUGUGCCUUUUGGAGGGAAUAUAUUGACGGAACGCCAGCCUACCUUUCCAUAACAUCAGGGACUCAUCAAUGCAUAGGUCCUUGUAUGGCACAAAGACCCGAC
rnacentral:lncRNA from 1 species